GAUGAACGCUGGCGGCGUGCUUAACACAUGCAAGUCGAACGAAGCACUUAAGAUUGAUUCUUCGGAUGACGUCUUUUGUGACUUAGUGGCGGACGGGUGAGUAACGCGUGGGUAACCUGCCUCACACAGGGGGAUAACAGUUAGAAAUGACUGCUAAUACCGCAUAACCCGAUAGGAUCGCAUGAUCCAGACGGAAAAGAUUUAUCGGUAUGAGAUGGACCCGCGUCUGAUUAGCUGGUUGGUGAGGUAACGGCCCACCAAGGCGACGAUCAGUAGCCGGCCUGAGAGGGUGAACGGCCACAUUGGGACUGAGACACGGCCCAA
rnacentral:rRNA from 1 species